GUGCCUGUGGCAUAGUCAGUCUGCGCGUCUGGCUGAAAACCAGCAGGUCUCGGUGCGAUCCCGAGCGGGCACACCA
rnacentral:tRNA from 1 species